rnacentral:misc_RNA from 1 species
GAUGAAGAACGCAGCGAAAUGCGAUAAGUAAUGUGAAUUGCAGAAUUCAGUGAAUCAUCGAAUCUUUGAACGCACAUUGCGCCCCUUGGUAUUCCGAGGGGCAUGCCUGUUCGAGCGUCAUUAUAACCCUCAAGCUCAGCUUGGUGUUGGGGCCUGCUGCACUGGCAGCCCUUAAAAUCAGUGGCGGCGCCAUCUGGCUCUAAGCGUAGUAAUUCUUCUCGCUAUGGAGUCCUGGUGGAUGCUUGCCAUCAACCCCCAAUUUUUCUAUGGUUGACCUCGGACCAGGUAGGGAUACCCGCUGAACUUAAGCAUAUCAAUAAGCGGAGGA